AACGAACGCUGGCGGCAUGCCUAACACAUGCAAGUCGAACGAGACCUUCGGGUCUAGUGGCGCACGGGUGCGUAACGCGUGGGAAUCUGCCCUGGGGUGCGGAAUAACUCGGAGAAAUCCGUGCUAAUACCGCAUAAUGUCUUCGGACCAAAGAUUUAUCGCCCUGGGAUGAGCCCGCGUAGGAUUAGCUAGUUGGUGGGGUAAAGGCCUACCAAGGCGACGAUCCUUAGCUGGUCUGAGAGGAUGAUCAGCCGCACUGGGACUGAGACACGGCCCAGACUCCUACGGGAGGCAGCAGUGGGGAAUAUUGGACAAUGGGCGAAAGCCUGAUCCAGCAAUGCCGCGUGAGUGAUGAAGGCCCUAGGGUGUAAAGCUCUUUUACCCGGGAUGAUAAUGACAGUACCGGGAGAAUAAGCUCCGGCUAACUCCGUGCCAGCAGCCGCGGUAAU
rnacentral:rRNA from 1 species